GAGGGUAUAGCUCAGUGGUAGAGCAUGUGCUUAGCAUACAUGAGGUCCUGGGUUCAAUCUCCAGUACUCCCA
rnacentral:tRNA from 1 species